rnacentral:lncRNA from 1 species
GUAACCGCCGCCUCCGCUGGGGCAUCCCGGCUCCAUAGGCCUAACGCUCUCCAGACACCUGCCUCUCACUGGCCAACGCCGCUGCCCCUCACGCCUUAGUCCCCUCGGUAAUUGGCCCCAAGCCGCAGCUCGUCAUCCUCGGGCCUCUCCUAGAGUCCCGCCUCCAUCACCGGGUCAUUUAAGUUUAUCACAAAUAAAUAAAUAAAGGAGGAAAUAGAAAUGCGUAGAAAGUAAAAGCAGUCGGGAGGGGGCGGGGACGUGGAGAAAAGAGGGGCGGAGUGGAGGAGUAAACAACCUAACUUGAUCAUAUCUACAUUGACCAAUCAAAGACCACUCCAGUCCAGUCUGACGGGCUCUCUUAACCAAUAGUUUUCCAGUUCUCUGGUUACUGAAUAAUGAGAUUAGAUUGACCUCUUCAGAGUGGGCGAAGGCGCGGCAAAGAAGGGGAAAUUGGAGAGCUGUCAACCAAUUGCCUAUUAGCAUUAAGGUGAGCGAAGUUUCGGCCCUCCAAUGGAUGCUUAAGAUAGCGGAUUGGGUCUCGCCUAGUCCAAUCGCAAAUAGCAGAGAUGAGGGAAGGAGUAAUUGGGGGCAGGGCCAGAGAGGGAGGAGGAAGACUGAAUUUUGUUUAUAGGCGGCAACCUCUUGAGGGGUUCCCAUUCUUAUUGGUUUAUUGAAGCGAAGAGUGGCAGGAGAAUGAUCCAAUAGUGGGGAAAACUAGAGGUUCGCGGCGCGAGGCGCCCAAUGUGGGCUUUCUGUUGAAGAAGUAGGGGCGGGGGGAAGUUUAGGAGUUGAGGAAAGAAGAUUAAAGAGCGUGAGGAGAUCUUACAGACUAGAGGAAUACAGGCCUUUGAAAUAUGAAGAUCAGGCAACAAGUUUGCAGUCUACCAGCCUCCAAAGUAGUACACCUUUGCAUGAGAAAUUACUGUUGAAAUAUCUCAAUUUGUUUGGGCUACUAUUACAAAAUAAACUGGGUGAUUUGAGACAACACACAGUAAGUACUGGA